rnacentral:rRNA from 1 species
UGGCUCAGAUUGGACGCUGGCGGCAGGCCUAACACAUGCAAGUCGAACGGUAACAGGAAGAAGCUUGCUUCUUUGCUGACGAGUGGCGGACGGGUGAGUAAUGUCUGGGAAACUGCCUGAUGGAGGGGGAUAACUACUGGAAACGGUAGCUAAUACCGCAUAACGUCGCAAGACCAAAGAGGGGGACCUUCGGGCCUCUUGCCAUCGGAUGUGCCCAGAUGGGAUUAGCUUGUUGGUGGGGUAACGGCUCACCAAGGCGACGAUCCCUAGCUGGUCUGAGAGGAUGACCAGCCACACUGGAACUGAGACACGGUCCAGACUCCUACGGGAGGCAGCAGUGGGGAAUAUUGCACAAUGGGCGCAAGCCUGAUGCAGCCAUGCCGCGUGUAUGAAGAAGGCCUUCGGGUUGUAAAGUACUUUCAGCGGGGAGGAAGGGAGUAAAGUUAAUACCUUUGCUCAUUGACGUUACCCGCAGAAGAAGCACCGGCUAACUCCGUGCCAGCAGCCGCGGUAAUACGGAGGGUGCAAGCGUUAAUCGGAAUUACUGGGCGUAAAGCGCACGCAGGCGGUUUGUUAAGUCAGAUGUGAAAUCCCCGGGCUCAACCUGGGAACUGCAUCUGAUACUGGCAAGCUUGAGUCUCGUAGAGGGGGGUAGAAUUCCAGGUGUAGCGGUGAAAUGCGUAGAGAUCUGGAGGAAUACCGGUGGCGAAGGCGGCCCCCUGGACGAAGACUGACGCUCAGGUGCGAAAGCGUGGGGAGCAAACAGGAUUAGAUACCCUGGUAGUCCACGCCGUAAACGAUGUCGACUUGGAGGUUGUGCCCUUGAGGCGUGGCUUCCGGAGCUAACGCGUUAAGUCGACCGCCUGGGGAGUACGGCCGCAAGGUUAAAACUCAAAUGAAUUGACGGGGGCCCGCACAAGCGGUGGAGCAUGUGGUUUAAUUCGAUGCAACGCGAAGAACCUUACCUGGUCUUGACAUCCACGGAAGUUUUCAGAGAUGAGAAUGUGCCUUCGGGAACCGUGAGACAGGUGCUGCAUGGCUGUCGUCAGCUCGUGUUGUGAAAUGUUGGGUUAAGUCCCGCAACGAGCGCAACCCUUAUCCUUUGUUGCCAGCGGUCCGGCCGGGAACUCAAAGGAGACUGCCAGUGAUAAACUGGAGGAAGGUGGGGAUGACGUCAAGUCAUCAUGGCCCUUACGACCAGGGCUACACACGUGCUACAAUGGCGCAUACAAAGAGAAGCGACCUCGCGAGAGCAAGCGGACCUCAUAAAGUGCGUCGUAGUCCGGAUUGGAGUCUGCAACUCGACUCCAUGAAGUCGGAAUCGCUAGUAAUCGUGGAUCAGAAUGCCACGGUGAAUACGUUCCCGGGCCUUGCACUCACCGCCCGUCA